AUGCUAGUCAUCAAAAAAUUUCUCACUGGUCCGCCUCUCUUUUCUCAGACAUUUCAUCGAACAUGCUGUGUUCACUCCCGGCAAUGGCACACACUGCACUCACACGCCGGCGGCCGAGCUCGCUGGAGAGGCCGGGCCGUCGCACACACGCACUGCACACACACACACACGACGCAAGGUGCACACACGCGCGCAUGUCACGCGCCCAGCCGGCAAGCACGCGCUGACUGGCACGCACGCACGCGCCUCUGCGAGGAGACCGCGCUCCUGGAGCUCGAUGGCGGAUGCCGGACGGAGCGCACCGUCGGAGAAGGACGACGACCCGCUGGGCGCGAAGCAUCGUGGUGUCCGCUCCUCCUCGGCCGCCAUGCCGCGCGGACGGACGCGCGCGCCACGCAGCAGAUCAUGGCCACGGACCACGGACAGGCGCGUAUGUAA
rnacentral:rRNA from 1 species